rnacentral:rRNA from 1 species
AUGCACGCUGGCGGCGUGCCUAAUACAUGCCAGUCGAGCGAACAGACGAGGAGCUUGCUCCUCUGACGUAGCGGCGGACGGGUGAGUAACACGUGGAUAACCUACCUAUAAGACUGGGAUAACUUCGGGAAACCGGAGCUAAUACCGGAUAAUAUAUUGAACCGCAUGGUUCAAUAGUGAAAGACGGUUUUGCUGUCACUUAUAGAUGGAUCCGCGCCGCAUUAGCUAGUUGGUAAGGUAACGGCUUACCAAGGCAACGAUGCGUAGCCGACCUGAGAGGGUGUUCGGCCACACUGGAACUGAGACACGGUCCAGACUCCUACGGGAGGCAGCAGUAGGGAAUCUUCCGCAAUGGGCGAAAGCCUGACGGAGCAACGCCGCGUGAGUGAUGAAGGUCUUCGGAUCGUAAAACUCUGUUAUUAGGGAAGAACAAAUGUGUAAGUAACUAUGCACGUCUUGACGGUACCUAAUCAGAAAGCCACGGCUAACUACGUG